CAUACAUGCAGUGGAGCGACGAACAGUGCUUUGCCCUGGGGCUAAGCCGCGAACGGGUGAGUACACGUGGGUAACCUGCCCCGAAGACCGGGACAACCCGAGGAAACUCGGGCUAAUACCGGAUGUGCUCUCUGCGCCCAAGCGCGGUGAGUAAAGGAAGCUUCGGCCUCCGCUUUGGGAGGGGCCCGCGGCCCAUUAGCUUGUUGGUGAGGUAACGGCUCACCAAGGCUGCGAUGGGUAGCUGGUCUAAGAGGACGGUCAGCCACACUGGGACUGAGACACGGCCCAGACUCCUACGGGAGGCAGCAGUAGGGAAUCUUGCGCAAUGCGCGAAAGCGUGACGCAGCAACGCCGCGUGGGGGAAGAAGGCCUUCGGGUUGUAAACCCCUUUCAGGAGGGACGAAGGUGCGGCGGCGAACAGCCGUCCGUACUGACGGUACCUCCAGAAGAAGCCCCGGCUAACUACGUGCCAGCAGCCGCGGUAAUACGUAGGGGGCUAGCGUUGUCCGGAAUCAUUGGGCGUAAAGCGCGCGUAGGCGGCCCGGUAAGUCCGCUGUAAAAGUCCAGGGCUCAACCCUGGAAAGCCGGUGGAUACUGUCGGGCUCGAGUCCGGAAGAGGCGAGUGGAAUUCCUGGUGUAGCGGUGGAAUGCGCAGAUAUCAGGAGGAACACCAAUAGCGAAGGCAGCUCGCUGGGACGGUACUGACGCUGAGGCGCGAAAGCGUGGGGAGCGAACAGGAUUAGAUACCCUGGUAGUCCACGCCGUAAACGAUGAGUGCUAAGUGUUAGAGGGUUUCCGCCCUUUAGUGCUGAAGUUAACGCAUUAAGCACUCCGCCUGGGGAGUACGGCCGCAAGGCUGAAACUCAAAGGAAUUGACGGGGGCCCGCACAAGCGGUGGAGCAUGUGGUUUAAUUCGAAGCAACGCGAAGAACCUUACCAGGUCUUGACAUCCUCUGACAACCCUAGAGAUAGGGCUUCCCCUUCGGGGGCAGAGUGACAGGUGGUGCAUGGUUGUCGUCAGCUCGUGUCGUGAGAUGUUGGGUUAAGUCCCGCAACGAGCGCAACCCUUGAUCUUAGUUGCCAUCAUUAAGUUGGGCACUCUAAGGUGACUGCCGGUGACAAACCGGAGGAAGGUGGGGAUGACGUCAAAUCAUCAUGCCCAUUAUGACCUGGGCUACACACGUGCUACAAUGGACGGUACAAAGAGUCGCAAGACCGCGAGGUGGAGCUAAUCUCAUAAAACCGUUCUCAGUUCGGAUUGUAGGCUGCAACUCGCAUACAUGAAGCUGGAAUCGCUAGUAAUCGCGG
rnacentral:rRNA from 1 species